GAGGGUAUAGCUUAGCGGCAGAGUGCGUGCUUAGCAUGCACGAGGUCCUGGGUUCAAUCCCCAGUACCUCCA
rnacentral:tRNA from 1 species